CCCUAGUAUAAAAAAUGAGAAUAAUUAGUAGUGUAAUGAAAUUUAAUAAUUUUGGCGGUUGAAUUUUAAUUAGAGGAGCUUGUUGAAUUAGUAAAGACUCUUUGAAUUUAAAGGUAAAUUGUUUAUUCAUCUCCGUUAUAAGAUAAGUAUUGGAAAAGUUUUUAAAAUAUAAUUUCAGGUCAAGAUGUAGCAUUUAUAAGUAAAAAUUAGCUACAGUAAUGAUAUUUUGGAUUUAAUUAGGGAGAAUUUAAAGAAAAUGAAUUUAGUUGUAAUAUAAUUUAGAAUAGCUAUAUGAAUUGAUAAAUUUUAUGU
rnacentral:rRNA from 1 species